AAAAUGACUAUGAAUGGUUGAUAACUCCUCCUGAUACCCCGCUCUUUCCAUCUUGGAUGACGAGACACCGCCAGCCAAUGUUAAACCUAGAGGACGUCCCCGGAGUCAACCCAUUUCCAUAUCAAGGUCAUCCACGAUGGAGAAGAGUUAUCGGAGCAGCAGAGGUAGCGCAAAG